rnacentral:rRNA from 1 species
AGACGGAGGGCGCGAGCGUUGUUCGGAAUUACUGGGCGUAAAGCGCGCGCAGGCGGAUCUUUAAGUCGGGAGUGAAAUACCGGGGCUCAACUCCGGGGCGGCUUCCGAGACUGAGGGUCUGGGGACCGGUAGAGGCCGGUGGAAUUCCCGGUGUAGCGGUGGAAUGCGUAGAGAUCGGGAAGAACACCCGUGGCGAAGGCGGCCGGCUGGGCCGGAUCCGACGCUGGGGCGCGAAAGCGUGGGGAGCAAACAGGACUAGAUACCCUGGUAGUCCACGCUGUAAACGAUGGGUGCUAGGUGCCGGGGGGAGCGACCCCUUCGGUGCCGGAGCUCACGCGUUAAGCACCCCGCCUGGGGAGUACGGCCGCAAGGCUGAA